UCUUCAAAGGCAGGGUCUGGCCAGCCUUGUGCCGCAGAGAGCCGACCGUCUGCAGGUGGUUGUACACCGAGAUAAAUGUGUGCAUCUUUGAGAAAUUGGCUUGGUGACAUAAAGGCUACUCACAGGCACAAUGCAGGUGGAGAGUGGCAUCACUGGAGGAAUGAUCGGCCCAAAUGAGACAGAGAAGGGGAAUGCAAAAAAGAAUGGACACAGCAAACACACAACCAACACUGGUGGCAGAGGAUACCAUGCAAGGCGACCCCUCCCUGCUUAUUAAGAGAACAAAGGCGGAGCAUUUAUUUCACUGGCUCAACUCUCGGGAUUCAUGAUAUUCUGGAUGUCAAGACCUCCAAAUUGGCUUUUAGGUCAGAGAGUGCAGGAGAGCAAAGGAGAGAGAGCACUGAAGUGUUUCUUGUAGGUUGUGAAUCCAAACAGGGUGAGUAGAGAGAGAGAGAGAUGAGAGGGUAAAAAAUUAAAAGGUUUCUUAUAGAGAGGGAAUUUGAUACAAAAAAAGAAAAAAGUGAGAGCGAAAUAGAGUUGAUGUAUUUCCCCGGGGGUGAGAGCUGUCUUUUAGAUGACUGUUUGAAUAUUGUGAAUCUGUUCUCUAUGGAUAUCUAUCACUUCCCUGUGGAUGUGCGUUCCCUACCAGCCGCCAUUUAUCAAGGUAGACAGACCGGGAGAACGAAGGCGUGGCUGCAAGGCAGAUGGAGAGAGAGCAGGAAGAGAAAAGCUUUAUUUGUAAGGAAACGCUUUUGAAGACAGUGUGUAAGUAAUUGCUUACACAAGACGUGCACUAUUAAUGCAUUAUGUGCAUGAGAUAAGAGCUCUCUGUAAUUACACAGAUGGAAGCUUGGACUGGUCCAAUUCUAUCACACCAAAAAUGUAAGAAACAUCUUGUAUCAAAUGAAUUCAGUGAAUGAGAAUGAUGUUUGAACAAUAAUGAUAAUAAAAUUCACAUCGCUUGACAACUCAAAGUGGCUAUCUGAUUGCAGAGUUAAAUGCUGAAUCUGAGGUCAUGCUUGCGGCUCUGUUUAGGAUAGUCUCUACUACUGGGGGUCCCCAUGAGAUCUAUUGGAUUGAACACC